AGAACCCCCUGAAUGAUGUAGGCUAUGGGGCCACAUAAGACUUUGUCCAUCCAGGGUUACGUUGAAUGCCAAAUUUAAACUAAAGAACCCCCUGAAUGAUGUAGGCUAUGGGGCCACAUAAGACUUUGUCCAUCCAGGGUUACGUUGAAUGCCAAAUUUAAACUAAAGAACCCCCUGAAUGAUGUAGGCUAUGGGGCCACAUAAGACUUUGUGCAUCCAGGGUUACGUUGAAAGACAAAUUUAAACUAAAAAGCUACCAGACUGGGAUUUUAGUGUACUCCAGGAUCUAACAAAUACUACUACGAAGUGUACAGUGCAUAAUAUAGUGUUUAGUGUAUAAUCUAACCUAAGGAUUAAGUGUAGUACAUUGUGCUUUUUAGUGU